UACGUAGGGUGCGAGCGUUAAUCGGAAUUACUGGGCGUAAAGCGUGCGCAGGCGGUUUUGUAAGACAGGUGUGAAAUCCCCGGGCUUAACCUGGGAACUGCACUUGUGACUGCAAGGCUGGAGUACGGCAGAGGGGGAUGGAAUUCCGCGUGUAGCAGUGAAAUGCGUAGAUAUGCGGAGGAACACCGAUGGCGAAGGCAGUCCCCUGGGCCUGUACUGACGCUCAUGCACGAAAGCGUGGGGAGCAAACAGG
rnacentral:rRNA from 1 species